UGGCGACCGGCGCACGGGUGAGUAACACGUAUCCAACCUGCCGAUAACUCGGGGAUAGCCCUUCGAAAGAAAGAUUAAUAUCCGAUAGCAUAUCAAGAUCGCAUGAUCUUGAUAUUAAAGAAUUUCGGUUAUCGAUGGGGAUGCGUUCCAUUAGUUAGUUGGCGGGGUAACGGCCCACCAAGACGACGAUGGAUAGGGGUUCUGAGAGGAAGGUCCCCCACAUUGGAACUGAGACACGGUCCAAACUCCUACGGAAGGCAGCAG
rnacentral:rRNA from 1 species